rnacentral:rRNA from 1 species
CCAAGGAGUCUAACAUGUGCGCGAGUCGUCGGGUCUUGAAUAGGCCCGCAGGCGCAAUGAAAGUGAAGGGCGACCGAGUUGUCGUCUGCGUUGGGAUCCCCGGACCGUCGUGUCUGGGGCGCACCAACGGCCCGUCCCGUCCGCAGCGUCGGUGGGACGGAGCGAGAGCGUACACGUUGGGACCCGAAAGAUGGUGAACUAUGCCUGGGCAGGACGAGGCCAGAGGAAACUCUGGUGGAGGUCCGCAGCGAUUCUGACGUGCAAAUCGAUCGUCAGACCUGGGUAUAGGGGCGAAAGACUAAUCGAACCGUCUAGUAGCUGGUUCCCUCCGAAGUUUCCCUCAGGAUAGCUGGCGCUCGAGGGAGUCAGUCUCAUCCGGUAAAGCGAAUGAUUAGAGGCCUUGGGGCCGAAACGACCUCAACCUAUUCUCAAACUUUCAAUGGGUGAGAAGUCCGGUUUACAUGACUGAAGCCCGGACAAUUCUCACAGGAUGCGAGUGCCCAGUGGGCCACUUUU